rnacentral:rRNA from 1 species
UGGGGAAUAUUGCGCAAUGGGGGGAACCCUGACGCAGCCAUGCCGCGUGAAUGAAGAAGGCCUUCGGGUUGUAAAGUUCUUUCGGUAUUGAGGAAGGUUGAUGUGUUAAUAGCACAUCAAAUUGACGUUAAAUACAGAAGAAGCACCGGCUAACUCCGUGCCAGCAGCCGCGGUAAUACGGAGGGUGCGAGCGUUAAUCGGAAUAACUGGGCGUAAAGGGCACGCAGGCGGUUAUUUAAGUGAGGUGUGAAAGCCCUGGGCUUAACCUAGGAAUUGCAUUUCAGACUGGGUAACUAGAAUACUUUAGGGAGGGGUAGAAUUCCACGUGUAGCGGUGAAAUGCGUAGAGAUGUGGAGGAAUACCGAAGGCGAAGGCAGCCCCUUGGGAAUGUACUGACGCUCAUGUGCGAAAGCGUGGGGAGCAAACAGGAUUAGAUACCCUGGUAGUCCACGCUGUAAACGCUGUCGAUUUGGGGAUUGGGCUUAGAGCUUGGUGCCCGUAGCUAACGUGAUAAAUCGACCGCCUGGGGAGUACGGCCGCAAGGUUA